UACGUAGGGUGCAAGCGUUGUCCGGAAUUAUUGGGCGUAAAGAGCUCGUAGGCGGUCUGUCGCGUCUGCUGUGAAAACUCAGGGCUUAACCCUGAGCUUGCAGUGGGUACGGGCAGACUAGAGUGCGGUAGGGGAGACUGGAAUUCCUGGUGUAGCGGUGAAAUGCGCAGAUAUCAGGAGGAACACCUAUUGCGAAGGCAGCUCGCUGGGACGUAACUGACGCUGGAGAACGCGAAAGCCGUGGGGAGCAAACAGG
rnacentral:rRNA from 1 species